GGGAACACGGCCAAUAAUUGGUGGAGAGUGAAAAGAAAAAAUGGGAUCUAAUGUAAUUGGACUUCUAUAAAUAAGAAGAGAUAGUUUUGGAGAAUUUUUUUAUCAUGUGGAUUAGAAUAAUUAGGACAGUGUGUAAUGGGUGGUAGAGUUGUGAGAAAUCGUGAGCAUUGUUGCGGCUGCAUGUGGAAGUUGGGAUAUGAUUUGUAACGGUGGUGGAGACUAGUGAGACAAUGAUGGGGAUCAACAUAGUUUGUUAAUUUGGGGUUGGGAUUUGACUUAAAGGAUUGUAUUUGAAGGGAAGUUUUAGAUGGAGUUUUGUUGGAUGGAGUGUAGGAAAAGGAGACAAAAGGGCAUCUCCUUCAGGAGUGAUGGGAAUGGUGCAGACAUAUGGAGUGUAGAUAAAUCGAUGUUGGUUCUUCUCAAUAAUGAAAUAUAUCUACAGGGUGGAUUUAGUGAAGGGACUGAAAAAACGUUUGGAAAGUUUUUAAGAGACUCUCAUGUGCGACUAUUUUCUAUUGAAUUAUAUCUAGAGAAUCCAUUGACGCAGAUAGGAAAAUAAGUUCUCAAAUGGUUGGUGGAGGAAUACAAUAUAUAUGGACGAAUGGAAGGAACUGUUGUGUCAAAACUCAACCAAGUGUAAGAACUUGCAAAAACGUUUGAGACCAAGUUUGAAGGAAGCUAAAAGCAUAUUUUAAAGUGAAUACACACUAUGGACAAAAGGAAAAAUACAAAGGCGUGGUUAAAGAAAACUCAAAGCUUCAGGAUCAUCAAAGUCAACAUUCCGGAAUUAAUCAGAACAGUUUUGAUAAAAGAGUCUGAUAGAUCAAGCCUCCGAACUCUACUCAAAGGUGGGGGAAAAUUUUUAAAUCCAGAAACCCAAUUUAACACCCCCCCUUUCUUAUGUUUCUUGUACCUUCAAUUGGUAUCAAAGCCUAGUUCUGGUAUUGACUUGUUAUGUCAGACACUUAAAGAAAAAGAUUCAUUUUCUUGAAACACAAAUGGCUACAUACUUCCUUUGGACGCCAACAAUGAAAGACUUAAAAGAAGUAAGAUGAAUAAGCAUCAAAGAAAGGGUGACAAAAUCUUUGAUCCAAAAAAAAAUUCUCUUUGCUAUCUCAUAUUCAGUAUAAAAAGAUUGCAAAUAGAGACUCUUCAAAAUCUAUAUUUGAUUCUUUUUGUAUGACUAUUGAAGGAAAUGAGCAAGUUAAGGAUUCAAAGGCUUUGGCUUUAAUCCAAAAUCUUGUGAAUAAGUUUCUAAUGAAGAAGAUGAGAUUUCUCUUCACUCUAGAAGAGUAAAUCAUCUAUGGUGAAAGAAACUGAAGAUGUUUAGUGCCAAAAAAGAUUUCAUAUGCUUUACCCUCAAGUUGCCAGGCCACUUCAGAAAUGAAGGUCCCAAACUGAAAAAAGAAAAUCCUAAUGAAAAGGUUCUUCAUUGAUACAAAGAAGUUCCUGAUGACUAUAUGGGACGACUCUAAGGCCUCUGAGGAUGAUUAUAAAGAAAAACAAGUUGAUGUGUGUCAUACCCCGAUUUUGGUCCUGAAUUUUUUAUGUUUUCACUUUUGUUUAGCACGCUUAACCUGCACGGACCAAAGCCAAAAAAAAACCAAGCAUAAGGUUGAUAUUGACACAGUGGAGAAGUUUCAGACUUUAAGGAAACAGGAGCAGAAAUAUUUUGAAGACAUGGUUCAACAAUGCAAGGAUGUAGGCGCAACCCUUGUUAUUUGCCAAAGGGGUUUUGAUGAUGAAGCAAAUCAUCUCUUGAUGCAUAGGAACUUGCCAGCUGUUAGGUGGGUUGGUGGUGUUGAGUUGGAAUUGAUUGCCAUAGCAACAAGUGUAAGAAUGGUUUCCAGGUUCCAGGAAUUAACUGCAGAAAAGUUAGGAAAGGUUGGUAUCGGCAGAGAGAAAGCAUUUGGAACAGCUAAAGACCAGAUGUUAUACAUUGAGCAUUGUGCUAAUUCAAGGGCCGUGUUGUUGUGAUUUCUAUAUAUUUCAAGGAUGUUUCUUUCAGAAGGUCACAAGCAUCAAGUUGUUUUCAGUUUUUGGUUUUGUUUCUAUUUAGUGCUUAUUGCUGCACAGGAUAAUAUCACUGACCAUACCGAAGUUGAAGCAUUAAAAGUCAUAAAAGAAAGGUUGAUUGAUCCUAAUGGAAAUUUGAGCAAUUGGAUACGCGGAGACCCAUGUACAUCUCGCUGGACAGGAGUUUUAUGUUUCAAUGAAAAUAUUAAUUGAUGGCUAUUUACACGUUCAAGAAUUGCAACUAAUGAAUUUGAGCUUGUCCGGAAAUUUGGUACCAGAAAUUGGCAGCUUAGCUUAUAUGGAAAGAUUGAACUUCAUGUGGAACAAAAUAAUUGGGAGUAUUCCAAAGGAAAUUGGCAAUAUCAAAUCUCUAGUCCUCCUGCUAUUAAAU